CCUACGGGAGGCAGCAGUUUGGAAUAUUCCACAAUGGGCGCAAGCCUGAUGGAGCGACACCGCGUGAAGGAUGAAGGUCUUCGGAUCGUAAACUUCUUUAGACCUAGAUGCAGUAUAGGUAGAAUAAGCCACGGCUAACUCUGUGCCAGCAGCCGCGGUAAUACAGAGGUGGCAAACGUUGUCCGGAUUUAUUGGGUGUAAAGGGCAUGUAGGUGGUCUUAUAAGUCAAAGGUGAAAUGGCCCGGCUCAACCAGGUCAUUGCCUUUGAAACUGCAAGACUUGAGUUCGGAAGAGGAAAGCGGAAUUCCCAGUGUAGCGGUGAAAUGCGUAGAUAUUGGGAGGAACACCGGUGGCGAAGGCGGCUUUCUGGUCCGACUGACACUGAGAUGCGAAAGCCAGGGGAGCAAACGGGAUUAGAUACCCUUGUAGUC
rnacentral:rRNA from 1 species